UACGUAGGGGGCUAGCGUUGUCCGGAAUCAUUGGGCGUAAAGAGCGUGUAGGCGGUCCGGUAAGUCCGCUGUGAAAGUCGGGGGCUCAACCCUCGAAUGCCGGUGGAUACUGUCGGGCUAGAGUACGGAAGAGGCGAGUGGAAUUCCUGGUGUAGCGGUGAAAUGCGCAGAUAUCAGGGAGGAACACCCGUGGCUAAGGCGGCUCUCUAGUACGGUACUG
rnacentral:rRNA from 1 species